AUUGAACGCUGGCGGCAUGCCUUACACAUGCAAGUCGAACGGCAGCACGGGAGCAAUCCUGGUGGCGAGUGGCGAACGGGUGAGUAAAGUAUCGGAACGUGCCCAGUCGUGGGGGAUAACGUAGCGAAAGUUACGCUAAUACCGCAUACGAUCUAUGGAUGAAAGCGGGGGAUCGCAAGACCUCGCGCGAUUGGAGCGGCCGGUAUCAGAUUAGGUAGUUGGUGGGGUAAAGGCUCACCAAGCCGACGAUCUGUAGCUGGUCUGAGAGGACGACCAGCCACACUGGGACUGAGACAGGGCCCAGACUCCUACGGGAGGCAGCAGUGGGGAAUUCUGGACAAUGGGCGAAAGCCUGAUCCAGCCAUGCCGCGUGCAGGAUGAAGGCCUUCGGGUUGUAAACUGCUUUUGUACGGAACGAAAAGGUUUGGGCUAAUAAGCUGAGCUCAUGACGGUACCGUAAGAAUAAGCACCGGCUAACUACGUGCCAGCCGCCGCGGUAA
rnacentral:rRNA from 1 species